rnacentral:rRNA from 1 species
GCUUAACACAUGCAAGUUGUGCGGUGAUCUCAAGAAGUUUCGGACGGAAAGGGAGAGCAGCGAGCGGACGGGUGAGUAAAGCACAAGGACUUGUCCCGAAGAGGGGGACAACUGUGGGAAACCACAGCUAAUACCCCAUAAGCCGAGAGGUGAAAGCAGUAAUGCGCUUUAGGAGGAGACUUGUGUCCUAUCAGGUAGUUGGUGAGGUAACGGCUCGACCAAGCCGAAGACGGGUAGCCGGACUGAGAGGUUGUACGGCCACAUUGGAGCUGAGAGACGGUCCAGACUCCUACGGGAGGCAGCAGUGGGGAAUAUUGGGCAAUGGGGGCAAAACCCCUGACCCAGCGACGCCGCGUGAGGGAAGACAGCCUUCGGGUUGUAAACCUCUGUUGCAGGGGAAGAAGAAAGUGACGGUACCCUGCGAGGAAGCUCCGGCAAACUACGUGCCAGCCGCCGC